GCAAUAAACUCGGUGUCAAUCAAAGACAAAAAACAAGUUUAAAAAGAUGGCGUCGAGUACGUGCUUAUCUUUUUUCGUAUUUCUUUAAUUGCGAAUUUUAUGUAAUUACGUGUGUUGCUUUAUGUCAAUGUGUUGAAUGAAUCCAUAUCAAAAUGUGGCACGAAGCAAGAAAACAGGAGCGAAUGAUUCGCGGUAUGAUUGUAGACUAUCGACGGAGGGCGGAACGCCGUAAGGAUUUCUAUGAGAAAAUUAAAGCUGAGCCCACUCAGUUUUUGCAAUUACACGGUCGGCCAUGCAAAAUUCACUUGGAUCCUACGGUCGCAGCUGCGGGAGAGGGUCCAGCUAUCAUGAUGCCUUGGCAAGGAGACACAAACAAUAUGAUAGACAGGUUUGAUGUCCGCGCACAUUUGGAUUAUAUUCCAGACGUGAGAAACCCUGAUGUUCCACCUGAUAAAUUAAGCCCUGAAGAGAGACAAUGCAACUAUGAACGAUACAGGAUUAUAGCACAGAAUGCCUUUCUAGGGAUAAGUGAAGACAAAUUCCUCCAGCAACUGGCCAUAGAGGAGCAGUUUGGUGUCACUAUAGAAGAGAAGGAGAUGCAAAAAGAGAGGUUGCACGAAAAAAAAGGCACUGGCGCCGCUAUAGGAUACAAUUAUAACGAUCCAGGGGCACAACCAUCCUGCUCUAACGGCCCGGAAAGUAAAAAAGUGGAGACCAAAGAUUCGGAUGAUGAUUCGGAUCUUGAAAUCAUUGAUGUGGACUUGAGCAUUGACGUAAAUAAGAUGGAGGCUUCACAGGCGCACGAGCUGAACGCGGUGGGCCCAGCGUUCGGCAUGGCCGGUUGCGACCUGUUCUCGUUCCUCACGGGCGACGCUGACGACGCCGAGCACCAGAAGCAACUGCUGCGAGAGGAGAAAGAGAAGGCAAUGUUCUCUGGAAGAAAGAGUCGGAGGGAAAGGCGCGCGCAUCGGGACAAGAAGCUAGCGUGCCGCGUGGUGAGCCCGCCGAGCUACGCGGCGCCGGCGCCGGGCGCGGGGGCGGGGGCGGGCGCGCGCUCGCCCAGCCGCUCGCGCAGCCGCAGCCCUUCGCCCGCGCCCGGGAACAUCCAGUUCAUCACCUCCUUCGGCGGCGACGACGAGGAGGUCAAGCCACCUCCACUGCCAAAAAUAUCAUAUGCAGAAAAAGUGAAACAGAAUUUAAAGAAGACAGAAUUAUAUUCAGAAAUAGUUCGCAGACAAACUAAAAGGCCAAGAGCUCCAUCAGAGGACAAAUACCCCCGCCCUCUAAUAGGGCCUCGCCGCGAGUCGCGAUCCAGGUCAUAUUCCCGAUCCAAAUCACGCUCGAGAUCCAAGUCACAGCCUAGGUCACGCUCGAGGUCAUUCCGGAGGUCACAUUCGAAGUCCCGGUCGUAUUCCCGGUCACGCUCUGCCUCGUCAAGGUCACGCUCGCGGUCCUACAGCCCUUAUAAGCGAAACUAUAGGAACAGGCGAUCUGCCAGUCCAAAUAAUACUAGUGCGAAGCGUAAAUCCAGGUCGAUGUCUUAUGAAAGCAACGACAGAAGCAAGCCGGCGGUGCCGCGCUACUACGGGCGCCGCAAGGAGGACAAGUCUUCCAGCGAACUGUCCCUGGAUUCCGAUUCCAGUGACUCCGCCGAUGACGCGAAAAACAAAUCGGCGGUUGCCAAUAAACCCAACACAAACCAGAAUCAGUUACGAUUGUCUGGAUCCAGCUCCAAAGUCAGGUCGGCCUUCCAAGGAAACCAUAUCGCUCAAGGAGAAACUCAAAAGAAAAAUGCAAGCCCAGUUAUCAAGGCAACUGCGUGCAGACAAGCGGGCUGAAGCGGAGCGGUUGGAACGCGAGAGUCGCAGGCAGGCGCGCCGUGACGAGGAGAUGCGGGAGUUAGCCAUCAAGCUGCGACGCAAACAGCGAGAGAUGCGACACCAGCAGACUAGGCGGUCGAGUGAUGACGACUCUGACAGGAGUCGCAGCGGGUCUUCCUCCAG
rnacentral:misc_RNA from 1 species